rnacentral:rRNA from 1 species
GACGAACGCUGGCGGCGUGCUUAACACAUGCAAGUCGAGCGGUAAGGCCCUUUCGGGGGUACGACGAGCGGCGAACGGGUGAGUAACACGUGGGUGACCUGCCCUCCAGCUCUGGGAGUAAGCCGUGGGAAACCGGGGUACCUAAUACCGGAUAUGACUCCAUGACGCAUGUUGUGGGGUGGAAAGCCUUGUGCGGCUGAGGAUGGGCCCGCGGCCUAUCAGCUUGUUGGUGGGGUGAUGGCCUACCAAGGCGACGACGGGUAGCCGGCCUGAGAGGGCGACCGGCC